CCCUUAGAUGUUCUGGGCUGCACGCGCGCUACACUGAUGCACUCGACGAGUUUACGACCUUGCCCGAUAGGGUUGGGUAAUCUUUUUAAAAUGCAUCGUGAUGGGGAUAGAUUAUUGCAAUUAUUAAUCUUCAACGAGGAAUUCCUAGUAAGCGCGAGUCAUCAGCUCGUGCUGAUUACGUCCCUGCCCUUUGUACACACCGCCCGUCGCUCCUACCGAUUGAGUGCUCAGGUGAAUAAUUCGGACUGCAGCAAUGUUUGGAUCCCGAACGUUGCAGCGGAAAGUUUAGUGAACCUUAUCACUUAGAGGAAGGAGAAGUCGUAACA
rnacentral:rRNA from 1 species